rnacentral:lncRNA from 1 species
CGCAGCUGUAUCCCUUCUAGACUUCACCGCGUGAACGAGUGGUGAACGCGCAUAGGAUUCAAGCGUUUUUCCGGUCGUUGUCCUGGAUACGCGUGCUGUGUUUCCGGUUAUGAUCAGAUGCUAACUCCGCUAACGGGCUGUCUGUGUUUUUACUUCAUCAGAUUUACGUUAAACAGAGAUAAACGAUGACCGCGAGUCGACGCUGUGUGGACAGAAUAUUGUCUAUCGUUCUGCUGUCGGUGGUUCUGCUGUCGUGGGGCUUCGUCAUCUAUGGCACACGGAUCGCAGCGCAGUGGGAGCUGCAGAAGAGAGAGAAAACACAGACCACAAUCAGCAAACAACACUGAAUAAACAACGGCCUGAAGCCUGACAUACAUACACACACAGAGACAGCGUUUAAUAUUAAUACACAUUUAAUAUGUGACUUCUUCUAACUGUGUGUGUGUUUCAAUGAUUUGCUAGAUCUCAAAUGUUUACUUCAGUCUUGUUACAUUAAUCAUGGAAACUUUCAUGUUUGAUUUUUUUCAUUUUGUGACCCUGUGUUUUUGUGUUCAGCCACUAGAUGGUGUAGUGCACUAGAAAGACUGUACACUGAACAGGGCUCGAGGGAAAACAGCCCAGAAUAUUCCACAACUUUUAAUGAUGUUAAUAAUGCUGCGUUCAUGAAGAAGAUCACGAUACACGCUUUAAAAAUACAGUGUAAUAUAUAACUAAUGUUUGAUAUGAAUAAAUUCUUUUUAUAGAAGUGUUUUUGCAAACCUUUAUAUAUGUUUUUUAGAUUUCAUCAAUACUUUGAAUUAAAUUAGUUUUUUAUAUUUACUGUGUGCAUCGUUUUGUUAAUUUUAUUGUUAGUGUUUACUAAAAUGGUGAUAUUUACUGAAAUGGUUUUAAAGUUCUAUUAAUUUUAAGUUAUUUAAUACAUGAUAAAGUGAACAUACACAUUUAUGUAAAUAAAGUUUUGUGUAUCUUAUUUGGAAGUAGAUUAUAGGACCAAGCAAUAAAAAAUGAAACCAUUAUGAGAUUAAACUUAUUAAACAGAUAUAAAGUUUGUCCUCAGAAUGUAAUUGGCUUAACAUAAUUGAUUUAUACUUUGUUUCUUCAAAUUAUUAUUUUUUUCUCCUAAAAACAAUGAUUUUAUUCUGAAAAUGAGUUUAUUCUCAACAUUUUAUUUAGACUUUUCUGUUUAAAAUUAAAUGACUUUUUUCUUAAAACACUGACUAU